GGAGGGGUGGCAGAGCGGUUCAAUGCACCGGUCUUGAAAACCGGCGUCCGUAAGGACUCGUGGGUUCGAAUCCCACCCCCUCCG
rnacentral:tRNA from 1 species